GGCCGGGCUCGGCUCGGCUCGGCUCGGCUCGGCUCGGCUCGGCACGGCAGGGCUCGGCUCAUGUAAUCUCAUCUCAUCUCGGCUCGGCACGGCCGGGCUCGGCUCAUGUAAUCUCAUCUCAUCUCGGCUCGGCACGGCCGGGCUCGGCACGGCUCGGCUCGGGUGUGUCACCCCCUCCGCGAUUACGGUGACUGCCUGCAGGGCUGUGGGACUGAGGGAUGAUAAACCAGUUUUUUAACUUAGGUUGCCGUUACUUUUACCCCGCGUCAGCAGCGCGGUGUUGAACGUUCGUGUCUGGGAUAGCCCCGCCGAGCUGCUGCACAGACUCCCAGCACGUUCCAGCACCUCGGUGCCUGCCGAGCCGUUUCUGACUGGGACUAGUUCAAACUGUGCGGAGGAAAUGUAUUAUGCUUGGCUGGAAAAUCCCGAAAGUGUACAUAAGGAUGUCACCUUCGCUUCUCUGUGUGUCUGACAAGUGCCGCCUCGUGAGGAGGAGUGAAUUCAUCAGUAGGGACUGGAUGUUUGUGGAUGGUCCAUCUACCUCAUUUUGCCCAAAAGAAACAGCAGUGGUUCCUUGAGCAAGAACCAAGAGAAGCUUUUUCUGUUCAAGAGGAAAUGCCCUGGGCUUGGGACAUGGACAGCAUCGGAGGAUGGUAAAUAGCUUUUACCAAGAAUUUGCAAUGUGAUGCGACAUGCUGGGCCCAUGGAUCAGAGCAGAUCUCUCUCUGUUCUUAGCUUUGGGUAUUCUCAGUUCAGUCAGAGAGAAAAAAAGAGGUUUCUGCCAGCCUGGGCCUGGGAAAGAAUUAGAAAGGAAUGUAAAUAAUUCUCUAUUUCUCUUGUUCACAUUGUUUAUAGAUAUGUUCUGCCACCAUUCCUCAUUCUCUGCACACCAAUGGGUGAGAUGUUUUUACUUUAAGACCAAUGAAAUUGGUCUGUACAAUGCUCUCUAUAAAGAGAGCGAUGUAUUUGAAAUAAAUCAGUUGAGUUCCAUUCAUCAAGCCUUCUUACUGGAGUUCUUUCAUUCCUGUCCUGUCUCAACAGCGACACUUACCUCAAUUAAUGAUGUAUAUAUUUUGUCCUCAGUUUACAUUCAUUUAGGGAAGUGACAGACAGGCUUUGGUGGGAGCCUGGCAUCCAGCCAGGGUCAUUCCACUCACAGGAAGGGAAGGCAAGAGAGGGAUAAACAAAGUCAAGACAAUUCAAGGGAGAGGUAGGCAGGGUAUGGGAAGACAUGGAAAGGAAGGAGUAGGCAUGGCUUGACGAGUCAAUGAAGUUCUAGGCAAGACAAUAGUUCUGUACUGUGCUUGUGCUUCCCUAAUUUAGGUAGUGUUGGGGGUCUUCUUCGAUGAAGGCUCAAGGUCUUCCUUGCAUCUGAACUUCUCAACUUUGUCUUCAGAGCAUGUGCAGCUAUGGUGUUCCUUGGUCUUUCUGGAUGUAAGUGGUCUAAAUUCUCCAUUUUGUGGCUAAUUUGGUUUACAUUAGUACAUCCUGCUGCAUGUCUAUUUUUGGGAUUAUUCACUUGGCAAAUUUCUGUUUAUUUAAGCAUUAAGCAACUAGUUAAUCAUAUACAAGCUAUUACAUUGUACAGAAAGUUAUGAUUCAGGUUAUAUUGGUAUAACUCAAGCUAUAUAAGUACCAUGUAUGUUUGACCCAGUUUACAGAGGAAUCACCUGUGUUAUAUGUAAUAAAGAUAAUUCACACCAGUAUAA